CAAAUCGUUUGCAGGAUAUAUCAUGGAAGUAUCUGGGAGCUACGACGUUAGCUUUGCCUGUUGCGGUAGCGCUAUCGUGAUGGGAAGUCUUCUGUCUCUGGGUAUAGCGAUCUGUAAGAGACCAAGUACAACAAGUGACCGGGAAAUGGGCGUGGCAGUUUAUGAGGAGGAACACACUGCCGUACUAUCGGGUACAGAGGAGCAAUAAAUGGAAUUACACAUUUUCCACAA